AUGGAGCCAUGGCUGAGCUGGGUUUUUCUUGUUGCUAUUUUAAAAGGUGUCCAGUGUGAGGUGCAGCUGGUGGAGUCUGGGGGAGGCUUGGUCCCUGAGACUCUCCUGUGCAGCCUCUGGAUUCACCUUCAGUGACUACUGGAUGUACUGGUUCCGCCAGGCUCCAGGGAAGGGGCUGGAGUGGGUCUCAAGUGUUAGUGGUAGCAGUAGUAACACAUACUACUCAGACUCUGUCAAGGGCCGAUUCACCAUCUCCAGAGACAAUGCCAAGAACAUGCUGUAUCUGCAAAUGAACAGCCUGAGAGCCGAGGACACGGCCAUCUAUUACUGUGCCAGAGACACAGUGAGGGGAAGUCAGUGUGAGCCCAGACACAAACCUCCCUGCAGAAACGCUCAGGGAAAAUCAGCUGCAGGGGGCACUCAGGACGCACUGAUCAGAGUCAAUCCCAGAGAACCUGUGCAUGCCGACAACUAUGAUUCCCGGUGCACUCGUGGCCUGGUGAAGCCCUCACAGACCCUCUCCCUCACCUGUGCCAUGUCUGCAUUCUCCAUCACAACCAGUGCUUCCUGCUGUAGCUGCAUCAUCAGCCCCCCAGGGAAGGGACUGGAGUGA